rnacentral:rRNA from 1 species
GAUGAACGCUGGCGGCGUGCUUAACACAUGCAAGUCGAACGGAAAGGCUCCUGCUUGCAGGGGUACUCGAGUGGCGAACGGGUGAGUAACACGUGGGUGAUCUGCCCUGCGCUUCGGGAUAAGCCUGGGAAACUGGGUCUAAUACCGGAUAGGACGAUGGUUUGGAUGCCAUUGUGGAAAGUUUUUUCGGUGUGGGGUGAGCUCGCGGCCUAUCAGCUUGUUGGUGGGGUAAUGGCCUACCAAGGCGUCGACGGGUAGCCGGCCUGAGAGGGUGUACGGCCACAUUGGGACUGAGAUACGGCCCAGACUCCUACGGGAGGCAGCAGUGGGGAAUAUUGCACAAUGGGCGCAAGCCUGAUGCAGCGACGCCGCGUGGGGGAUGACGGCCUUCGGGUUGUAAACUCCUUUCGCUAGGGACGAAGCGCAAGUGACGGUACCUGGAGAAGAAGCACCGGCUAACUACGUG